rfam:Myotis davidii contig125198, whole genome shotgun sequence.
GGCGGUUCUCGGGUGAUGCAUCCUGAGAUUGGACUCACUCCUCUCUGGUUCUGGGUGCAUCAUCUGAGAAUCGUA